AUGCAAGUCGAACGAGAACGGGUUAUAGCUUGCUAUAAUUGUCAGCUAAGUGGCGCACGGGUGAGUAAUGUAUAGGUAAUAUGCCUCUUACUAAGGGAUAACAAAUGGAAACGUUUGCUAAUACCUUAUACUCCUUAUUAACAGAAGUUAAUAAGGGAAAGAUUUAUUGGUAAGAGAUUAGCCUGUAUUGUAUCAGUUAGUUGGUGGGGUAAUGGCUUACCAAGACUAUGACACAUAACUGGUUUGAGAGGAUGAUCAGUCACACUGGAACUGAGACACGGUCCAGACUCCUACGGGAGGCAGCAGUGGGGAAUAUUGCACAAUGGACGAAAGUCUGAUGCAGCAACGCCGCGUGGAGGAUGACACAUUUCGGUGCGUAAACUCCUUUUAUAUGAGAAGAUAAUGACGGUAUUAUAUGAAUAAGCACCGGCUAACUCCGUGCCAGCAGCCGCGGUAAUACGGGGGGUGCAAGCGUUACUCGGAAUCACUGGGCGUAAAGAGCAUGUAGGCGGAUUAAUAAGUUUGAAGUGAAAUCCUAUAGCUUAACUAUAGAACUGCUUUGAAAACUGUUAAUCUAGAAUGUGGGAGAGGUAGAUGGAAUUUCUGGUGUAGGGGUAAAAUCCGUAGAGAUCAGAAGGAAUACCGAUUGCGAAGGCGAUCUACUGGAACAUUAUUGACGCUGAGAUGCGAAAGCGUGGGGAGCAAACAGGAUUAGAUACCCUGGUAGUCCACGCCCUAAACGAUGUACACUAGUUGUUGUGAGACUUGAUCUUGCAGUAAUGCAGUUAACACAUUAAGUGUACCGCCUGGGGAGUACGGUCGCAAGAUUAAAACUCAAAGGAAUAGACGGGGACCCGCACAAGCGGGUGGAGCAUGUGGUUUAAUUCGACGAUACACGAAGAACCUUACCUGGACUUGACAUAUAGUAAGAACUUUCUAGAGAUAGAUUUGGUGGUCUGCU
rnacentral:rRNA from 1 species